rnacentral:pre_miRNA from 1 species
ACAACAACAUUCGGACUGUCGGUCUACCGAGCAAUAUCACUCGCUCGAUGGAAGAUCUUCCCUUGGUCGUAUAGC